rnacentral:rRNA from 1 species
UACAGAGGUCCCAAGCGUUGUUCGGAUUCAUUGGGCGUAAAGGGUGCGUAGGUGGCGCCGUAAGUGGGGUGUGAAAUUUCGGAGCUUAACUCCGAAACUGCAUUCGAUACUGCGGUGCUUGAGGACUGGAGAGGAGACUGGAAUUCAUGGUGUAGCAGUGAAAUGCGUAGAGAUCAUGAGGAAGACCAGUGGCGAAGGCGGGUCUCUGGACAGUUCCUGACACUGAGACACGAAAGCUAGGGGAGCAAACAGG